GAACCGCGAAAUGUAAUGUGAAUUGCAGAGUUCGUGAAUCAUCAAAUCUUUGAACGCACAUUGCACUGCUUGGAAUUCCAGGCAGUAUGUCUGUUUGAGUAUCUGUUUUACAUCAAGAGCGCCUUGGUUUUUAGUUAGACUUGCAAGAGUCUGACUGGUAACUAAGGAGUGCAUUGAGUAUUGAAUGUCUUGUGGUAACGCGAGGAUUCAUAAAUACAUAUUACUUGGCUUGGUGCCUUGGAUGUGGCUCCCACUUGUGGGAGUCGCAGUCAUCAUCUGUUAUUGAAGAACUGUUUCCUCGAUAUAUAAGGAUUUUGAUUAAACGAGUAUGAAGCUUCAGUGCCGAAUCUCAAUCCAUGAUCUCAAAUCAGACAAGACUACCCGCUGAACUUAA
rnacentral:misc_RNA from 1 species